UUUUAAAGUGCCUAAUCUUUCUUUCUUCCGUUACUAUAAAAUCUUCAUCAAACUGUUACCUCAUUGGAACAUGGACUCUGGGGCAACCUAAGUCUGUGUUCCUGGGCCAUAACCAUUCACAGUGGCUUUAGAAUAAACUGUCUUGUAAUUCCUUUGAGGAAAGAGUUGUGCUUUGUGGAAACUGUGUCAAGAACUUUCCUGAGUUCUGUGAAUAAUCAAAGGUGAGGAGAGCUCCAAUGGACAGACAAAUUGGAUAGAAAUACGGAUAAACUUGGGGCUCCAUAGUUGGCCUUGGCGUCUGACAUGACAACAGUCUGGUGGGCCUUAGCCCUUAGGAUCUGUGCUAGCUUGAGGUGAACAAUGUAUCUGGUGGUGUGAAUAAGAAUGGCUCCCAUAGACUCAUGUAUUUGAAUGCUCAGUCCCUAGUUGGUGGAACUGUUUGGGAAGGAUUAGGAGGUGUGGCCUUGUUGGAAGAGGUAUGUUUUUGGAAGUGAGCCUUGAGUUUUCAAAAAUCCAUACAAUUUCCAAUUAAGUCUCUCGUUUUCUCUCUGCCUCAUGGUUGUUGUCUCAAUAUGGAAGCCCUCAGCUAUAGCUCCAGUAUUAUGCCUGCCUACCUGCUGCCAUGCUCCCUGCCAUGAUGUCUUCGAGAGACUCUCUCUCAAACUGUGAGAAAACCCCCAACAAACUCAUUCUUCUAUAAGUUACCUUGGUCAUUGUGUCUCUUUACAUCAAUAGAACAGUCACUAAGACAGAAGUUGGUACCAGGAGUGGGAUGUGGUUGUAAUAGGCCUGACCAUGAUGGUUUUUGGAGAUAUAUAUGGAGGACUUUGGGACUUCAGACUAGAAAAGUCGUUGAAUACUGUAAGCAGGGCUUUAUAGGCCACACUAGCAGGAGCUUGGAAGACAGUAGUACUAAAGCAAUAUGGACUAUGGAGGCCCAGCUCAAGAGGUUUCAGAUUGGAAUAGUAUUAGCACCGGGAUAGAGACCAUUCUUGUGGUAUUUUGGCCUUCCAGAAGGAUGGAUUUCUGCUCCUGCAUCUGUGGUAAGUACAGUUCUCAGCCUCCUGGAUGCUGGAGUUGAGGGUGUGACCUGCUUUGGCCCUAUGAUGGGUGGAGCCAAAUUUGUAGAUCUGUGCCUCUGUUUUAGCUCACUCAUGUGACUUGGUGACAUGGAUAAGAGCUUUGCAGGGUUUCUCAGUUAGGCUUACUAUUGCUAUGAUGAAACACCACAACUAAAAGCACACUGGGGAGAACAGGAUUUAUUCAGCUCACACAUUCAUAUUGCUGUUCAUCAUCAAAGGCAGACAGGACAGGAACUCAUACAGGGCAGGAACCUGAGGGCAGGAACUGAUGUAGAGGCCAUGGAGGAGUGCUGCUUGCUGGCUUGCUCCUCAUAGAUUGCUCAGCCUGCUUUCUUAUAGAACCCAGGACCACUAGCCCAGGGAUGGCCCUACCCACAUCAAGGAAAUGGCCUACAGCUGGAUAUUAUUGAGGCAUUUGAUCAUUUGGAGAGGAGGUUCCCUCCUUUCAGAGGUCUUUAGCUUGAGUUAAGUUGACAUAAAACUAGCCAGCCCAUUGGGCACAAAAGCUGCCAUGUGAUGAUAUGAAUGAGAACAGCCCCUGUGUGAGUUUGUAUACUUGAAUGUUUGGUCCUCGCUUGGUAGAACCGUGCAGGAAGGCUUAGGAGAUGCAGUCUUCUUGGAGGCAUGGCACUGGAAGCUUUGAGGUUUCAAAUACUCACACCGUUCCCAGUCAGUUGUUCUUCUGCCUCUUGCCUGUGGAUUAGAAUGUAAGUGCUCAGCGACUGCUCAAGCACUGUGCCUGCCUGCUGUUCUGCUCCGCCCAAUGGUGGUGAUCACGGGCUAACCCUUGAAACAAUAUGCAAUCCCUCAAUUAAAAUUUCUCCCCUUUGUAAGUU
rnacentral:lncRNA from 1 species